rnacentral:rRNA from 1 species
AGCCGAGCGGUAUUCUUCUUCGGGAGAGAGAGAGCGGCGUACGGGUGCGGAACACGUGUGCAACCUGCCUUUAUCUAGAGGAUAGCCUUUCGAAAGGAAGAUUAAUACUCUAUAAUAUAUUAAUUGGCAUCAAUUGAUAUUGAAAACUCCGGUGGAUAGAGAUGGGCACGCGCAAGAUUAGCUAGUUGGUGAGGUAACGGCUCACCAAGGCAAUGAUCUUUAGGGGGCCUGAGAGGGUGAUCCCCCACACUGGUACUGAGACACGGACCAGACUCCUACGGGAGGCAGCAGUGAGGAAUAUUGGUCAAUGGGUGCAAGCCUGAACCAGCCAUCCCGCGUGAAGGAUUAAGGUCCUAUGGAUUGUAAACUUCUUUUGUAUAGGGAUAAACCUACCCUCGUGAGGGUAGCUGAAGGUACUAUACGAAUAAGCACCGGCUAACUCCGUGCCAGCAGCCGCGGUAAUACGGAGGGUGCAAGCGUUAUCCGGAUUUAUUGGGUUUAAAGGGUCCGUAGGCGGACUUAUAAGUCAGUGGUGAAAGCCUGUCGCUUAACGAUAGAACUGCCAUUGAUACUGUAAGUCUUGAGUAUAUUUGAGGUAGCUGGAAUAAGUAGUGUAGCGGUGAAAUGCAUAGAUAUUACUUAGAACACCAAUUGCGAAGGCAGGUUACCAAGAUAUAACUG